UACGAAGGGGGCUAGCGUUGCUCGGAAUCACUGGGCGUAAAGGGUGCGUAGGCGGGGCUUUAAGUCAGGGGUGAAAUCCUGGAGCUCAACUCCAGAACUGCCUUUGAUACUGAAGAUCUUGAGUUCGGGAGAGGUGAGUGGAACUGCGAGUGUAGAGGUGAAAUUCGUAGUUAUUCGCAAGAACACCAGUGGCGAAGGCGGCUCACUGGCCCGAUACUGACGCUGAGGCACGAAAGCGUGGGGAGCAAACAGG
rnacentral:rRNA from 1 species